CCUUAGGAGAAAGAAGGUGGACUACAAACAUGGUUCGCCGCCUACUGGGUGCAGGAGAUGGGGAGCUGCAACACAGAGAACCUAAGUGACUCACCCCGAGUCCCACAUGGAGUCAGUGGCAGAACUGGAAAUGGAACCCAGAUCUUGAGUUCUAGGCCUGUGCUGAGCCACACGAGCACCUUUUUCCUAGCGAACAUGACACGUGUAGCUGGAGGAGAAGUAACGAGAGACCGGACAAUACCUCUUAAAAGAAAAUGGCUGCAAGCAGGAACCAAGGGCUGGGUCUGGAUCCUGGGAGCCACACUGUUGCAGCAGGAGAGGGCACCUGGCAUUGGCCACUGUCAGAAGACAGGAUACUGGAAUAGAUGGACCUUUGGCCUGACCCAGUAUGGACGUUCUUAUUUUCUUAGGGCAAGGACCUUGAAUCUGAUAUGAUGAGAAACAGGGAGCCAGUACAAAGAAACAAAAAAGGGCAUGACAUGGUCAGAGUGACAGGGAAGGAAGGCUAUUUUAGUGGCUGCAAUUUAUACAGGUGUGUGUAUUCUUCCAGUACAAAAGGGCAGCUUUUUAUGUUUUUAAUUAGUCUGCCACUGUGCAUCAUUUUUGUUACCCUUUGGAGGACUGCAGUGACAUUUUAACAGAAGGCACAUAAACUUCCUAUGAUGCGUGGUCUUUGUUGCAAUAUAAAUUAAAAAUUAUGACAUAUAUAACUCCAGAGAUUUCAAAAAUUCAUUGAGUCAGAUGUAGAACAUGUACAUCCUACCAUGUGCUAGUCUAAUGCAAUCCUCCUCAUCUUGCUGAAUAACCAUCACACGAUUUGAGUAAACUUCAGGAUUUUUUGCUAGAUAUUAACAUGUAUUUACAUAAUGUAAAUAUUGUAGAAAAAUGCUAUUAUUUAUUAAGUUAUAUCUUACCUACUAUUAAAACA